rnacentral:rRNA from 1 species
UGUACCCGUACCGUAAACCGACACAGGUGGAUGAGGAGAGAAUCCUAAGGCCGGCGGGAGAAGUGUUGUUAAGGAACUCGGCAAAAUGACUCCGUAACUUCGGGAGAAGGAGUGCCACAGAGAUGUGGCCGCAGAGAAAUGGCCCAAGCAACUGUUUAGCAAAAACACAGGUCUAUGCAAAACCGAAAGGUGAGGUAUAUGGGCUGACGCCUGCCCGGUGCUGGAAGGUUAAGAGGAGAGGUUAGAGCAAUCGAAGCUUUGAAUUUAAGCCCCAGUAAACGGCGGCCGUAACAAUAACGGUCCUAAGGUAGCGAAAUUCCUUGUCGGGUAAGUUCCGACCCGCACGAAAGGCGUAAUGAUUUGGGCACUGUCUCAACAACACACCCGGUGAAAUUGAAAUACCAGUGAAGAUGCUGGUUACCUGCGCCAGGACGGAAAGACCCCAUGGAGCUUUACUCCAGUUUGAUACUGGGAUUCGGUACUGUCUGUACAGGAUAGGUGGGAGGCUAGGAAAUGGUGACGCCAGUUGCCAUGGAGCCAACCUUGGGAUACCACCCUUACAGUACUGGGUUUCUAACCUGCAGCCGUGACCCGGCUGGGGGACAAUGUCUGACGGGGAGUUUGACUGGGGCGGUCGCCUCCGAAAGAGUAUCGGAGGCGCUCAAAGGUUCCCUCAGAACGGUUGGAAACCGUACGAAGAGUGCAAAGGCAGAAGGGAGCCUGACUGCGACACCGACGGGUGGAGCAGAUACGAAAGUAGGACUUAGUGAUCCGGUGGUAUAAAGUGGGAUUGCCAUCGCUCAACGGAUAAAAGCUACCCUGGAUAACAGGCUUAUCACUCCCAAGAGUUCACAUCGACGGAGUGGUUUGGCACCUCGAUGUCGGCUCAUCGCAUCCUGGAGCUGUAGCAGGUUCCAAGGGUUGGGCUGUUCGCCCAUUAAAGCGGUACGCGAGCUGGGUUCAGAACGUCGUGAGACAGUUCGGUCCCUAUCCGGCGUGGGCGUAGGAUAUUUGAGAGGAGCUGUCCUUAGUACGAGAGGACCGGGAUGGACAAACCUCUGGUGUAUCUGUUGUUUUACCAAAGGCAUGGCAGAGUAGCCAAGUUUGGCAGGGAUAAACGCUGAAGGCAUCUAAGCGUGAAGCCCCCCUCAAGAUAAGAUAUCCCAUCUUCGGAGUAAGACCCCUUGAAGACUACAAGGUUGAUAGGCUUCAGGUGUAAGUGUGGUAACGCACUCAGCUGAGAAGUACUAAUAGGUCGAGGGCUUAUCAAA